AGGCGGCGUGGCCAGGGAUGGGUUCGGGCGUCGUGGUCGCCCGGUGCGGUGCCCGUGUCCGAGUCACGGGUCGCGGUC
rnacentral:tRNA from 1 species